rnacentral:rRNA from 1 species
ACGGGAGGCAGCAGUGGGGAAUUUUGCGCAAUGGGGGAAACCCUGACGCAGCAACGCCGCGUGCGGGAUGAAGGCUUUCGGGUCGUAAACCGCUUUCAGCAGGGAAGAAACCAUGACGGUACCUGCAGAAGAAGCCCCGGCUAACUACGUGCCAGCAGCCGCGGUAAUACGUAGGGGGCGAGCGUUAUCCGGAUUCAUUGGGCGUAAAGCGCGCGUAGGCGGGCCUCUAAGCGGAACCUCUAACCCGAGGGCUCAACCCCCGGCCGGGUUCCGAACUGGAGGCCUCGAGUUCGGUAGAGGCAGGCGGAAUUCCCGGUGUAGCGGUGGAAUGCGCAGAUAUCGGGAAGAACACCGAUGGCGAAGGCAGCCUGCUGGGCCGCAACUGACGCUGAGGCGCGAAAGCUAGGGGAGCGAACAGGAUUAGAUACCCUGGUA